ensembl:lncRNA
CCCAAUCAAUCAAUCAGUCAGUCAGUCAGUCAGUCAGUCAGUCUUUGAUUACACUAUUUAAAUAGCCCCCAUUUGGGGUCAGCUUUCGCUUACGGCCAUACCACUCUGAAAAAGCCUGAUCUCAUCUGACCUCGGAAGCAAAGCAGAGUUGGGCCUGGUUAGUACUUGGUUGGGAGACUGAAUGGGAAUACUAGGUGCUGUAAGCUUUUUAUUUGGAUCAGUGUUUUCAUGGCCUCUGCACAACAUCCUGUUUUGGGAUAAAGGUUGGACACAGGUUUGAAGGGGACCCAAUCAAUCAAUCAUCAGUCAGUCAGUCAGUCAGUCUUUUGAUUACACUAUUUAAAUAGCCCCCAUUUGGGGUCAGCUUUCGCUUACGGCCAUACCACUCUGAAAAAGCCUGAUCUCAUCUGACCUCGGAAGCAAAGCAGAGUUGGGCCUGGUUAGUACUUGGUUGGGAGACUGAAUGGGAAUACUAGGUGCUGUAAGCUUUUUUAUUUGGAUCAGUGUUUUCAUGGCCUCUGCACAACAUCCUGUUUUGGGAUAAAGGUUGGACACAGGUUUGAAGGGGACCCAAUCAAUCAAUCAAUCAAUCAGUCAGUCAGUCAGUCAGUCUUUUGAUUACACUAUUUAAAUAGGCCCCAUUUGGGGUCAGCUUUCGGUUACGGCCAUACCACUCUGACAAAGCCUGAUCUCAUCUGACCUCGGAAGCAAAGCAGAGUUGGGCCUGGUUAGUACUCGGUUGGGAGACUGAAUGGGAAUACUAGGUGCUGUAAGCUUUUUAUUUGUAUCAGUGUUUUAAGCUCUUUACCUUCUCCUGACAUUGAAGAAUAUUCCGUACUACACCAAUGCAGCCUCCAAUUCUGACAGUUAUCUCCCAUUCAUGAGAGAUUAACUCUAGUGCUACCUCGAACAACCUCCUGGAACUGGUCAACUUCAUUAAAAUCCGGUGGAAUUGGGCCAUUUUCAUGUUUUUUCAAGACAAUUUUUAUAUCCAAAUGUUCAGCAUUUACCAUGAAACAGUCCAUUUCUGAGAGUCGCCAUAUAAACUGUAACAGGAGAUGGUGUGGAGUUCUUAUCAUUUUC